rnacentral:rRNA from 1 species
GAUGAACGCUGGCGGCGUGCCUAAUACAUGCAAGUCGAGCGAACAGACGAGGAGCUUGCUCCUCUGACGUUAGCGGCGGACGGGUGAGUAACACGUGGAUAACCUACCUAUAAGACUGGGAUAACUUCGGGAAACCGGAGCUAAUACCGGAUAACAUGUUGAACCGCAUGGUUCAACAGUGAAAGACGGUCUUGCUGUCACUUAUAGAUGGAUCCGCGCCGCAUUAGCUAGUUGGUAAGGUAACGGCCUACCAAGGCAACGAUGCGUAGCCGACCUGAGAGGGUGAUCGGCCACACUGGAACUGAGACACGGUCCACACCCUAAGGGGGGGAGGCAGUGGGGAAUCUUCCGCAAGGGGGAAAAGCCGGACGGGGCAACGCCGGGUGGGGAAAAAAGGUUUUGGGAUCGUAAACCUCUGUUAUUAGGAAAAAAAAAAGGUGGAAAAAACUAUGCACGUCUUGACGGUCCCUAAUAAGAAAGCCACGGCUAACUACGU